GAGAGAGAGAGAAAGAGAGAAAGAGAAAA
rnacentral:sRNA from 1 species